CUGAGAUCUUUCAGACACUGAGCCACCAACCAGGAAGCAUACACUAGCAGGCAGCAAGCAAGCUAUGGGCCUCUGCGUGUGCCAGCUCCCAGAUGGUCUUGUUCCUCUUGGAGGCUCAGGCCAGUCAACAUCAGUUCUGGACUCCCUAAGGACAAGAGAAAACAUUGUGUGCUAGAGGCAGGAAGCCUAUUUGCCUCAAUCUCUGGAGAGCAGGGUCUUGACCUUGAUGAAAGUUUGGUUCACCUGUAUAGCUGGGGACAGAAGAAACACCCAGAAAAUCAUGAGCCCCCUAGUCCUGACGGAACCUGUUCAUUUUAAAGAUGGAGAGAUCCUGGCUUAGAAAGAGAUUGGCUCAGAUGGAAUGGCAGUGAUGUUCCCCGGACAUUUAUAGCGAAGCCUGAUCUUAAAUACGUGAUCUCAAACAACAA